CUGAUUGGCUGUUGCGCAAAACGGGGGACGCAUAGCGAUUGAGGUCAUAGUUUAGCACGAUACAGAAAGGUGUUUGGAAGAGCUUUAGAUCCAUGCGGUUUUACUCUAUGGCCGGGCACAUUGUACUAGUUGUUGCCCACGCUACCUCGGCGUAUGUUAGCCGAGGCAAAAUGUCGCAUUUUAGCAGAAACUAUUCGCUUCGUAUAUACCUAACAUCCCUUUUGACCAACUGCUUUCACAGGGCCUGUUAUCUACAAGAGCUAUUUUGGACUGGCUGGGGGUUUUAAACUCAUAUUAGGGGAAUGCAUAAGUGGGCCCUAAUUAGUUAGCAGUCGCUAGUUCACAGUAACUGUUACCAGUUUUCAUACAGAAAACUUCUCUUUUUGAAGUGUUUAAAAUUCUACAAUUAAUUUCAUCAAAACCGUGAAAAUAAAGCUGCAUUUAAUCCAUCUAGAAAUCCAUUUCAGCAAUAGAGGUACUGAGCAUUCAGGAGACUCUGCGGCUGCAUACUUUUCAAAAGUUAUAGAAAAGCCCCCAGUCUCACAAAAAU